rnacentral:rRNA from 1 species
GACGAACGCUGGCGGCGUGCUUAACACAUGCAAGUCGAACGGAAAGGCCCUGCUUUUGUGGGGUGCUCGAGUGGCGAACGGGUGAGUAACACGUGAGUAACCUGCCCUUGACUUUGGGAUAACUUCAGGAAACUGGGGCUAAUACCGGAUAGGAGCUCCUGCUGCAUGGUGGGGGUUGGAAAGUUUCGGCGGUUGGGGAUGGACUCGCGGCUUAUCAGCUUGUUGGUGGGGUAGUGGCCUACCAAGGCUUUGACGGGUAGCCGGCCUGAGAGGGUGACCGGCCACAUUGGGACUGAGAUACGGCCCAGACUCCUACGGGAGGCAGCAGUGGGGAAUAUUGCACAAUGGGCGGAAGCCUGAGGCAGCAACGCCGCGUGCGGGAUGACGGCCUUCGGGUUGUAAACCGCUUUCGCCUGUGACGAAGCGUGAGUGACGGUAAUGGGUAAAGAAGCACCGGCUAACUACGUG